CUUUCUCCUCCCACCUCUGAGCCCUCUGGACGUGUCCUGGUUUUACCUGGUUUCACCAAGGCCUCCCACACCAAAGUCUCAUCUGUCUUGUUUUUCAUUUGCAGCCUGAUCCCUGAUCCCAAGUGGCCAACAUAGAACUCGGAGAACAGCUGGGGUUCUCCAGGGCUUCGAUAGCAGAGCUCCAGUUCCUGAAGAGGCAAAGAGUUGAGUUGCCACCCUGUUCAUCUGGCAUGGGAGGCUUUUCCCCACCUGACACCUUCUUGGCCCUGCUUGGCUCCAUAGGGACACUCCGGUGAUCCCUGUAUUGAAAUCAAUCAUCGCCUUCAGACACUGCUCUUUUCCCAAUUUUCCACAGAAGGAUGAGGACACAACUGGGUACUGCAUAGGUGAAGUCUGAUGGGACCAUGGAGCCUCAGCUCAUAGGUGGUCCCAUCAGUGAGCUAGAAUUAAUCAGGCCCUGGCUUACCUGAUACGGAAGAGAGUGAACAUCCUUCUUCUUCACCCUGGAUUCCAGUUCAUCCUUGUGGGGAGAGAAGGAUGAAGAAAGAGGAGCUUCAGGUCUUCUGGAAGCCAGACUCCAUUCAUUCAUUGAGUACUGAGCCAGGUCACAUGCCGGGCACAGGGACCAUGAGAUGAAUCUUACCAGUCCUUGUCUUCAAGGAGUUCACAACCUAUAGGGGAAGAGAGCUUUUUGCCUCCAAUUCUGGCUCACAUUAGCAUUGUUUAAAUAUUUGCUAAGGAUGGGUUUUUUUCUGUCCCUUUAUUUCAAAGUUUCUCUGUCACAUGUAAGUAACAUAUAGUUUAAAAGAAAUUCAGUCCUAUCAGUAUUCUUUACCAGAUUAU